UACGAAGGGGGCUAGCGUUGCUCGGAAUGACUGGGCGUAAAGGGCGCGUAGGCGGAUGGCACAGUCAGAUGUGAAAUUCCCGGGCUUAACCUGGGGCUGCAUUUGAUACGUGUUGUCUUGAGUUCGGAAGAGGGUCGUGGAAUUCCCAGUGUAGAGGUGAAAUUCGUAGAUAUUGGGAAGAACACCGGUGGCGAAGGCGGCGACCUGGUCCGACACUGACGCUGAGGCACGAAAGCGUGGGGAGCAAACAGG
rnacentral:rRNA from 1 species